GAGGUGGAGAGAUCCUCAACCUUAUUAAGGCGAGGAGACGUUCUGCAGGCAGCCAUUGUUCCCCUGGGUGUGCAGGUGGGCGACAGAAAAAGAGAUAAAACUUUGUUUUUGUGGCAUUUCCACUUGGACAACAGUAUUUGACGUAUAACAAAACUUGUGUUGCUGAAAUUUGUAAGAUAAUUUAAUGCAGCCACAUGCUCUUUACUUUGCUCACAAAAUCUGUAUUUAAGCGACUGAAUUGGACACCAUUAUGGUUUCUAAACCUUGUUUCUAAGUUUCUGGUUUAAAAUUAAGAUUUUAAUAUAUUGGUAUUUUAGAGGGAUAUUCUGCAAUCUGUACCAUUUACCUGUUAUUUGAUUUGUAGUAUAUGAAUUUAAGCAAAAAUACAAUUAAAUUCAAAUUUUUUUGUAACAAUAUA